AUACGGAGGGUGCAAGCGUUAAUCGGAAUUACUGGGCGUAAAGCGCACGCAGGCGGUCUGUCAAGUCGGAUGUGAAAUCCCCGGGCUCAACCUGGGAACUGCAUUCGAAACUGGCAGGCUAGAGUCUUGUAGAGGGGGGUAGAAUUCCAGGGGUAGCGGUGAAAUGCGUAGAGAUCUGGAGGAAUACCGGUGGCGAAGGCGGCCCCCUGGACAAAGACUGACGCUCAGGUGCGAAAGCGUGGGGAGCAAACAGGAUUAGAUACCCUGGUAGUCCACGCCGUAAACGAUGUCGACUUGGAGGUUGUGCCCUUGAGGCGUGGCUUCCGGAGCUAACGCGUUAAGUCGACCGCCUGGGGAGUACGGCCGCAAGGUUAAAACUCAAAUGAAUUGGCGGGG
rnacentral:rRNA from 1 species